UACGUAGGGGGCAAGCGUUGUCCGGAAUCAUUGGGCGUAAAGAGCGUGUAGGCGGCCAGAUAAGUCCGCUGUGAAAACUCGAGGCUCAACUUCGAGCUGUCGGUGGAAACUAUUUGGCUAGAGUCCGGAAGAGGAGAGUGGAAUUCCUGGUGUAGCGGUGAAAUGCGCAGAUAUCAGGAAGAACACCCGUGGCGAAGGCGGCUCUCUGGUACGGAACUGACGCUGAGACACGAAAGCGUGGGGAGCGAACAGG
rnacentral:rRNA from 1 species